rnacentral:rRNA from 1 species
UAUAAAUAAUUUUACUUUGAAACUGCGAAUGGCUCAUUAUAUCAGUUAUAGUUUAUUAGAAAUAUUUUACUACUUGGAUAACCGUAGUAAUUCUAGGGCUAAUACAUGARURAAWCCUCAACUUCGGAAGAGGUGUGUUUAUUAGUAUGAAAACCAUAUAUCUUCGGAUAUAAUAGUGAGUAAUAAUAACCUUUCAUAUCGUAUGUCGUAAGAUAACGAUAGUUCUUUCAAGUUUCUGCCCUAUCAGCUUUCGAUGGUAGUAUAUGGGACUACCAUGGCAGUAACGGGUAACGAAGAAUUUGGGUUCGAUUUCGGAGAGGGAGCCUGAGAGAUGGCUACCACAUCCAAGGAAGGCAGCAGGCGCGUAAAUUACCCAAUCCUGACAUAGGGAGGUAGUGACAAUAAAUCACAAUGCGGAACUUUUAGUUUUGCAAUUGGAUUGAGAACAAUGUACAAAUGUUAUCGAUAAACAAUUGGAGGGCAAGUC